GUCAGAACGGUAGGGUCUCCAAGACGGGAUCAGCGUCUUUAGAAGAAGAGGAAGAGAGACCAGAGUUCUCUCUCCAUCUCUGCCACGUGAAGACACAGAAAGAAGGUGGCUGUCUGUAAGCAAGGAAGAGCCUCACCAGGAAUCAGCACCUUGAUCUUGGACUUAACCUCCAGAACCGGGAGAAGUAAAUGACUGUUGUUUCAGCCACCUGGGGUUAUGGUGUUUUCCUAGAGCAGCCCACAAUGACCAACACACUCACUCAAAAUACCCCUCUGGUGUGGGCAUAGUUCAGCAGAACUGUGCUCCAUCCUCACGUAAAGAAUGUGUGUGAUCAGACCACUGAAGUACUUAACAACUAUGAAAGAGAAAGAAUUUUAAAAUGUACAGAUCUAGAUACUUCCAUUACUAAGAAACACAGCUUAAUUUCAUCUCCUAUUCACGGAUUUAUAAACCGGGAUUCUUCUCACAACCUGUGGAAACUAUGACAAAAACCUCUCAGAGGAGAUGUGAGAAAGAAGGAGAGAGGAGAAUCAAAUAAGAAGAGUCCGUUUUAUAAAGGUUAGAGAGUUCUCUUCUAAUAACACAAACCUAGUUAGAAUGAAUGUUGGCAGAAAUGUCCCAUCAAUCAAGUGAAUACCCACUAAUCCUUGAGACCUAACUCAAAUGCUGUAUCCUGCAAGCUCGCGCCACUCCUUCCCAGGCAGUCAGACAUAAUUUACUCUGUGCUCCCCUUUCUCCAUUUCAGCACUGAGCAAAAGGCACUAUAUUUGUUUAUGGAUCUGUCUCUUCCACCAGACUCUGAAAUCAUCUAGGGCAGCGUGCUACUCUCUCCAGCACCUAGAAUGGUGACUGGCAUGAAGCAGUUUGAUGAAGUGGAGCCACUUUGCUUUGCUGAAUGGAAGUGGAACUCUCUGUGCUAUCUCACAGCUUUUCUGUAAAUCUGAAAUUAUUCCAAAAUAAACAGGUUUUUUUAAAAAGGCACCAGGAGCCACUGUAUUAUCAGUAAUAAUCACACCUGCCUUACAUGUCAGGCAAGAAGACACCAGCUACGAGAGCCUUGCCUCACUGUUUUUCAGACGUGCCAGCAGGAGUUAGUAACCUUACAUGUAGCAAACUUGAAAAACAAUGAGUAACAAACACUUGAGAUUUUAAUCCUGACCUUAACUUUGGUCAAAUUGUUUAACCUUAGUCUCAGUUUGUGAAAAGGGAAUAGUAAUUCCGACCCUACAAGGCUGCCGUGCUACAUGAACUAUACAGAGUAUAUAUCAAAUGAGCUCUCCUAACGAUGUUCUAAUCAAUACGUGUUAGCGACCUUCCCCAGGCAGUGCUGCAACUGGACUAACGCUUCACCGCAAACCAGGUGCAUACUGUAACUAGUUCCACCUGGCACGGACUGUAAAGUUCUAAUUCAAUCACCAUUCGGGCUAUGAUUACCUAUAAAAUAAUCCUACAUAUGUGUCCGUAGAUGCCAACCCUGCCAAGAUGUCCUAGUCCAGAACUCCCCAACGAAAUACACAGGCUAUUCAAAACUCAACGCAACCGACAGGGGUCAGCAGCUCCUGGCACCCAUCUCCCCCGGACUAAGCUCCAGAAAGCGGGCACGCACACUCAGGCCGUGCUCGCCGACUAGGAAGAGGUGGGUAUCUCCAGGGACGAUCCCGCUGCUGCCAACAGCGGCGUGCGGCAGCCUGGGGUCUCCCGCUAGUUGCUGAGAGCACCUGGACCCUGAGUGGCCAAGACCGUCCACUUCCAGGCGUGGUGCUCUCGGGCACCAGCAUCCUCAACCGAAGGAGGCGCGGGUGGCAGCAGCGCAUCGGUGCGCUGGGGAAAACAGGGAGUGGGCGGGAGGCCACGGACACCACCGCCCGGACUAUAAACCGACACCGGGCAGCUCCCCGCCUGGGCGCGUGCGUUCCAGCCGGAGAAGCCGGGCGGUCGGAAGCACCCCGACUGCGUGCAGGGGUGCGUGGGGCGCCCUGGGCGCCGCUCCCGCGCUGACAAGCCGGGCCCACGGGGAAACGGAGGCCCGCCGGGUCCCCGGGAGCCCGGCUCGCGGAGCGAGCAGAUGAGAAAAAUGAAGCUCAAAGAAGUGACGUAUUAUUCCCUAGUUCUGCCUGUACUGGCUAACUUUGGUGACUGUUUGCCUCUCUGAUGUCCCACGCUUACUCUCCCACACACACUGCUCCUGCUAAUCUGGCCCUGUGGCCAGGAUGUAGUCCCAGUAAAGAGACUCCCUGGCAAGAGGGAGAUGCUGCACAGACAAGGCGCCAGAACUUCACUCCCACAUCGUCUCCAUAUCAAAGCAGCAUUUUCAAACACACAGAGAAUGUUGAGAAACAUUGAAUAUGUCUGUUUGUCUCAUAUCAAAGAGGCCUAUCAGGAGUUACAGUUUAGUUAGCCUAAAUAUAAAACCUGUUUUAAUGAGAACUAUAUACAUUUUAUGUCUAAUUAGCCAAUUAAUUUGCUAUUCCUGCAUGAAAUUUACAAAACUUGCUAAGAGAAAAAUUUAGAAUGGAGAUGCCUAAUAGGAACUGAAUUAAACUAUCGUGGUUUAAACACAAAGUGGUCUGGGGUGGUGAACAUGAAGUAAUCUACACAGAAUUUGAAGUAUAUUACGAUGUACACCUGAAAUUUAUACAAUGUUAUAAACCAAUGCUACUGCAAUUAAAAAAAAUUUUUUUUUAAACAAAGUGUUACAGCUUUUUUAACUCUAUGAAUGCACCAGUCGGGAAAGACUAAGCAACGCUGUGUUAACAACCAUCCCAGAUCUCACCCAAGUCUAUUCCCACCUCAAGUCUAGCACGAUAUUGCUGGACACUGCACUCCCUGACACCCCCCCAUGGGACCCGCGCUCUUGGAACCUCCACUUUGUGGGUUAGAGGGAGAGAGGACACUGACUCUCGUGCGGGUUCUGAAAGCUUCAGCACAGAAGUAAAAUAGUUCUCACCUAUUCACAUUUCAUUGGCCAAGGCAACUCACGUGGCCACACCCAACUUCAGAGGGGUGAGAAGUUCGCUCCUGGCAUGUGCCAUGGAGAAAUGAAAACGUGAAGGGAUUAAUGACAGUCUAUAGAGAAAAGCAGACUGAAUCAAAUAGACACGAUGUCUUGUUUCAUCAUUUACUACUAUUUUGUUAACCUUCUGAACCUGAGUUUUUCUUAUCAGUAAAAUGGUAAUAAUAAUUGUGAUAAUAUCUACUUCAAAGACUGUAAAUUACAAGAUCAUUAAUGUAGAAAAACAUUUUUCCCUCAUGCACUGCUGAUGGGAAUGCAAACUGAUGCAGCCACUAUGGAAAAGAGUAUGAAGAUUUCUCAAAAAAUUAAAAAUAGACAUGCCAUAUGACCCAGCCAUCCCACUACUGGGUAUCUAUCCUAAGAAC
rnacentral:lncRNA from 1 species